AUGGGCCGGUGAAGGGAAAGGAAAUAGCUCUACGAGCGGCAUCCUGCCUGCGUUAGCGGCGGUGGAGGAGGAGGCAGAGAGGAGUGGAGGGCGGAGUAGACGGAGGAGGCUGCUGCAGAGAAGAAAGUGUCAGAGCCGCUCCCUGGACUGUCGGAAGCGGAGUUGUUUGUAAAGGCAAAUGCAGACGCCUCCUCCUCCUGUCACUUCGGGACAAGUUAACAAUCUUCAGAUUCGUUAUUAAAGCCUCGUGUACCCUAUGUGAUCUAUCAGGUUCGGCUUUAGAGUGUGGUGAAGGGUACUUUUCAUGGUGCAUGGAAGGAAAGCCAAUGCGCAGGUGUACCAACAUUCGACCAGGAGAGACUGGAAUGGAUGUAACAAGCCGCUGCACCCUUGGAGACCCCAACAAACUGCCAGAAGGGGUUCCCCAACCUGCCCGCAUGCCCUAUAUCU
rnacentral:lncRNA from 10 species